rnacentral:lncRNA from 1 species
CAGCCCGGGAGCCGCGCGGAAAAGUGCGUGGCCGCCCCGCGGGCUCCAGGUGCGGGCGCCGCCUUAUCUUCGCGCUCCGCAUUCUUUGGAUCAAAGUCCUGGUGAGUCACUCGAGCCUCCAGUUCGCGCUUCCUCCCCUGCUUUCGCUUCCGUCCGCUUCCUCGGAGCACCCCGGGCAGGUUGGUCAGCCCCUGGACGCAAGCUGCCCCUUGACGGAGCUGCCGCCAUGGCCGACUGGUAGAGCCGGCGCGUCCCGCACCCGGAGGCCAGGUGAGUGCCUGGGCCUGGCGCCUGCGCCUCCACCGGGGGCUGAGGGGGCGUGCGGGGGCGCCCCUCCGGGACC